GGCGGCCUGACCGCGCGCGGGCCCGGGGGGCGCCUGGGCCGCGCCGGCCGCAUGCUGCGGCGCUGUGUCCCCGCGCUGCUCGCGGCCGCCCGUGGCCACCUCCGGCGUCCGCGCGACCCGCAGCUGGCGGCCUCCCGGGGCCACGUUUUCGCUCUGACCAGGCAGACGCUCGGCGAGCUCCUGGCGCGGCUGGAGCCCGGCGCCGCGGCCCCUGCGUCCAGUGCCCGGAGCGGCGCGCUCCCCCGGCGCCUGCGGCAGCUGCGCGAGCUCCUGGCGGCGCCCGGGCCCGGGCAGGCGCGCGAAGGCCCGCGGGACGCGCUCCUGGCCGCCGUGCUCUGGCCCUGCAUGCGCCUGGCCGCCUGCUCCGCGCCGCCCGACAGGCUGCGCCUGGUGGCCCUCUGCCGCCGGCUGCUGGAGCUGCGGGGCGCCGGCCGGCGCCUGGGCCGGAUCGAUGGGUCUCCGGGGACAGGCCUGGCGAGCCUGCCGCCGGGGCAGGAGUGCGCAGCGCUGCAGGCCGCGACUGAGGCCCUCGCCCAGGGAGUCCGCGCUGGGUUACUGCGCCAGAUCCUGGACACGUUCACCGACACGCAAAGUCCUCUUCAGAGGCUGGUCCAGGCCGCCUUGGCCGCUCCCCCUUUCAGCUCUCCGCGCGAUGCCGAGGGCCAGCCAAAGAGCCUCCAGCUUCUCCUUGCUGAUUUCCAGGACCAGGCCAAGCAGAUGCUCAGAGUGGCGCACUUAGUCUGGGUUUGCUGCUCCCGACAACAAACUGGCAAAGACGUCGAGGCCACCACGGCGGGCCUCUGGGAGCUUGUGGUCAGAGUGCAACAGCUUUUCUCGCAAAGCCCCGAAGGGUCUGGUCCGGACUGGAGCCCCGCCGCCCUGCAGGCCGUGCUUCAGGCGUGGGCCAGGGCAUCUGAAGGCCUACUGGCCUGUUUUGACGACGUUCUCAAUAUUCCUGAGUUCCUGGGUGUGUCCAUUCAGGAAAUGACCAAGCGCUUGGACUUCUUUACAUGGGCUUUGAGGAAGAGAGAUUCUAGAGAGUUUUCUCGACUCGUGGCAUAUUUACAGGGCCGAGCCACGCACAUAGGGCAGGUGAUGAGCAGGUAUGUGGACCAAGAUCGAGAUCCCAUUUUCCGGAAUGGCCUGAGAGUCUUGAUUCGGCAGCUGGAGGAAUCUUCCCUGGUCCUGGGUGCAGCUGCUGAGCGCUGUUCAGGUGGGCACAGCUCUCAGGACACAGAUGCGUUUUUAACCAUGGCAAAGCAUCUGAUCUGCUCAGCUCAGAGCAUCCGAGAGGGUCUGGAUGGGACUAACCACCCAGAUAUCCUCAGCCCCCUUCGACACCAAGUCCAAAGGUUUGAUAUUGCUAAGAGACAGCCUUAUUUUAUUCUCCCCAGCCUUCAGGACUCCAUAGUUUCUGAACUGAAACACCAAAGGGGCUCUGGGUUAGGGAAAAGUGAUCUAGGCACCUCCUAUCCGCCCAGGGACCAUCUUUCCAGUCCCUGGAUUCCUGGCACCCGUCCACAGAGGGGGGGCUCUCCACUUCCUGCCAUCAGCAAACUUGUCCUUGCUGUAGAGAGCCAGGCAGUGACUUCAGCUUGCAGCAGCCUGCAGGAUCAGGAUGCAGCUGUGGAUGCAGCUCAAGAGGCCUUGGCUAGGGAGGGACCACUGGGGUUGAAGAGGAUGACUGGACUCGAAGAAAUCUCAACACUGGUACCUUCUGCUAGUGACUUAGCAGGGGAGAUAGCACAUUGUACAACUGCUGGAACUGAUAGGCUUGUGGAAGUGGCUCUGCAACUGUCUGGCAGAACUAGGGAAACCAGGCAGGGUUUAGUAGCCAUGGCUGGUGACUGGUACCCUCUGUGUCAACAGCUAUUUUGCAACGACCCAGCAGCUGAUCUUCGAGAAAACAUGGCAGUGUUUGUGGAGCUUCAGCAGAAUUUAGCCUCAGUGGUUCAACUAGCAGCAAAAAGUGGGCCCAUGGAUUUGGGUAAAAAGGAUUCUGACUCGACUGGGCAUCCAGAAGCACUUUUACAAAUGCAAGGCAGACUGCAGGAGGCAGAGACCCACGCUAAACAGCUGUUGGACAAGAUUCUGGCCUCUGAUGGCCUCCAAGACCUCAAGUCAUGGGAGGAGAGCAUUGAGGAUGGGUGCCUUCUAUGGUCAGUGACUAUCCAAGACCUGCUCCAGUGCAUGGAGAGGCUCAGCGGGAGACAAGGCCUGUUCUUGUUCCUGCGACAAGCUGUGAAUGACCAGCAAGGGCUGCAGGAAGGGUUGGCUCAGGCAGCAGAUGUUUCUCGGAGGCUACAAGAGGCUGCCAGGCUGUCUUCCCUACUGUGUGGGGAGGAGAAAGUAAAGGGUGAAAUCUCCUUUCUGUGCAGGGAAGUUCAUGUGCUCACAGAAGCUCUGCUGGAUGUGGCACAGAUCCUGGCCUCCUCCCCCAAACCAUCACCCAGCCUGUCCACACGCUUUGAACUUCUCUACUUGGAGCUCACCCUUCGAGCCAAGGCCCUGACUGGCCAUCUCAGCAGCAUCAAUGCAGACUAUGAACAUGCCCUCCAAGCUGCCUUCUGCCCAAGACUUUCUGUCUGCAGAGACCCCCAGACCAGGCCAGAAAGCUCCCUGGAAAGAAUGGUGUCUGGUAUCCAAGCUGUGCAAGAAAUCGUGGCAGGAGGUCAGGAGUCUGGGCCCUGCCAGGAGAGUCUCCUUGUGGCGCUGGAGAGCAUUCUUGUCCUCACCAAGGAGGUAGCCCAGAGGGUCCCUGUGGUCCGAGAACACCCAGAGGAGUGGGGAAUGCACAUCCUGGACUGGCUUCAGUGGGAGUGGGCAGCUAAGGCCCACCAUGCUGUGACCCAGCUCCAGGCUUGGAAAGGUGGUCACACCAAGGCCUGGAGACUCCUGGCCCAGUGCUUGAAGCCCAGUAGUGAGACAGCAGUGAUGAAGCCCAGUGAUGAACAGGACCCUGUCCAGCGCCAGCUCCACCAUGCGGAGGGUGCAUCAGGAAUGGCUGCAGCGGGCAGUAUGGAUUCUCAGGGUGCUGCCCCAAGAGACACCCCAGGGAGCUCAGUGGGGACCUGCACUGCUGAUCCAGGCAUCGCUGGGACAAUCACAGCAGACCUGGGCACGCAGCAGCAGAGCGGCACCCCCGCCAGCGCCCCUGGCUGUCCAGCCUGGCUGCGCGCUGAUCUGGACCAGCCUCUGCCGGAGGACGGCAGCGCGGACAGUGGGAACAGAAUCACCCAGAUUACCCGGGAGAUGGCCAAGGAGGUGUUCCUAAUGGCCCAGAGUUUGAGGAGGAGAGGACGCAUCAUGACCAAAGAUCAGCUCAUCACCUCUGCUAGGAAAAUUGCGACUUCUGGACAAAACUUCGCCAAACUUAUCUGCAUCAUUGCUAAGAACUGCACAGAUCAAAGAUGUUCCCAGGAGCUUCUGUGUGCGGUAGAGCAGAUUCAGACAGUGAGCAGCCAGCUCCGCAUCAUCUCCGGGUAGGAGCCGUCUUCGGUGGAAACUGCUUGCUCCACUUUCUCAAGACCCAGAGGGAGGGCUCAGAGGGGGCUUAUAAUUCCUUUUUUUUGUUAUACUUCUUUUCAUGUUUUAUCCUCCAAGAAUCCACAUUUAUUUGGGAAUAUCAAAUAUUGAAAAUAUAGAGAAUUAUUACAGAGCACAAAAAACAUUUAAGCCACUGUUAUCUCCCAUUGUAUCACAAAUAUAUUAUAUCUGAUAAUAUACAUAAGAAAGAAAAAAAAGAUUUAACCUGGGAAACUAGUUCCUGAGGAGGUGUGAACAUAAAGUAAACAUAAGGAUUUUUUUUUAAAGAUUUUAUUUUUCCUUUUUCUCCCCAAAGCUCCCCGGUACACAGUUGUGUAUUUUUAGUUGUGGGUCCUUCUGGUUGUGGCAUGUGGGAUGCCACCUCUGCAUGGCUUGAUGAGCGGUGCCAUGUCUAUGCCCAGGAUCCAAACUGGUGAAACCCUGGCCUGCUGAAGCGGAGUGCGCGAACUUAACCACUCGGCCAUGGGGCCGGCACCUGAGUCUUUUUAAAACCGUAUCCCUCAGAACUUAGGAGCUCUUCCCCGUUGGUCCAUCCUCCCUUCACGACACUGUGCACUCCCUCCAGGGGUGCUGCUGUGCUCUCAUCACUUCACGGUUAAUCUGCAAACACAAAUGACUGAUCUCUGCUUUAUAAUCACAUUUAAAUUUUGACCUUUAGUUCUCUAUUUGUUUUUAUACUAAUCAUAUCUAAUGAAGUCCCAGUUAUCUAUAAAAAAUACACUAAUUGCAAAGUGAAAGCACUGUGAAUGUCAUCUCCCUAAGAAAAACUAUGCCGGUACGGAUUUUGUGUUAAGAUUAAUUCAUUUAAUGUGCCCAAAAUCUGGACUUGAGCAGUUUUUGUUAAUUGUCUCCAUAUAACAGCUUUCAUGUCGAUAAUAUAGAACAUCGUAAUGUCAGUAUAGAAUGAUUUCAUUUCAACCUGAGUCCUUGAUACCUGC
rnacentral:lncRNA from 1 species